UGUAUGUUUAUAACUGACUGUCAAGUGUUAGCGAUUACAAAGUUAAAAAAUUGCGGUUGGAAAUUUGAAUCCGUCAUUGGAUUUUUUUUGCUUGAAUGGUACGGAAAUCUUCAUGCGCGAGUCCGACUUGCACUUGACUGGAAGGUCAAGAAAGAGAUGCUACGAUUGAGAACGUCAAGAAAAAAAUUAAUUCAUUAAGGGCUGGGUUCCGAAAAGAAUAUAAAAAAGUGCAAGAUAGCAAGACGACAGGUUCAGGAACUGACCGGGUAUACGUGCCAAAAUUAUGGUAUUACAAUCAGCUUGAAUUUCUCAAAGAUCAAGGCCAAGGUGAACAAUCAACUGACAAUAUAGACAGCAGCGAACAGGAGACAGCUAAUGAUAAUGAAAAUACAUUUGAUGCUGAACACAGUGAAAAUGAUACCCAGAGUACCAUUUGCAACGUGUUAUCACGGCAAUGGCCGCCAUUGAAGACACAAUAUCGUUAAUAGGUAAAAGAUUACAAAACCCCGAUGAUGAAUAUGAUGCUAUAGGAAAAAAAUGUCGCAAUUAAACUCCGCAACAUGACUGCUAUUCAACAAGGCAUAGCUGAAAAGCUCAUCAAUGAAGUUAUUUUUUUGGGACGGUUUGAAAAAUUAACAUUCAAUACAAGUAUACA